GGGCCCGUGGCGGAAUUGGUAUACGCAACGGACUUAAAAUCCGUAACCGCAAGGUAUGCAGGUUCGAUCCCUGCCGGGCCCACCA
rnacentral:tRNA from 1 species